GACGAACGCUGGCGGCGUGCUUAACACAUGCAAGUCGAACGGUAAGGCUCCAGCUUGCUGGGGUACACGAGUGGCGAACGGGUGAGUAACACGUGGGUGACCUGCCCUGCACUUCGGGAUAAGCCUGGGAAACUGGGUCUAAUACCGGAUAGGACCGCACCGUGAGGGUGUGGUGGAAAGUUUUUUCGGUGUGGGAUGGGCCCGCUGCCUAUCAGCUUGUUGGUGGGGUAAUGGCCUACCAAGGCGGCGACGGGUAGCCGGCCUGAGAGGGUGGACGGCCACAUUGGGACUGAGACACGGCCCAGACUCCUACGGGAGGCAGCAGUGGGGAAUAUUGCACAAUGGGCGGAAGCCUGAUGCAGCGACGCCGCGUGGGGGAUGACGGCCUUCGGGUUGUAAACUCCUUUCACCAUCGACGAAGGGUUUCUGACGGUAGAUGGAGAAGAAGCACCGGCUAACUACGUGCCAGCAGCCGCGGUAAUACGUAGGGUGCGAGCGUUGUCCGGAAUUACUGGGCGUAAAGAGCUCGUAGGUGGUUUGUCGCGUCGUCUGUGAAAUUCCGGGGCUUAACUCCGGGCGUGCAGGCGAUACGGGCAUAACUUGAGUACUGUAGGGGAGACUGGAAUUCCUGGUGUAGCGGUGAAAUGCGCAGAUAUCAAGAGGAACACCGGUGGCGAAGGCGGGUCUCUGGGCAGUAACUGACGCUGAGGAGCGAAAGCAUGGGGAGCGAACAGGAUUAAUACCCUGGUAGUCCAAGGGCGAAUUCCACAGUGGGAUAUCAACUUAUCGAUACCUCACCUCGAGGGGGGGCAAGAGUAAACAAGAUAAUAUUCUCUUAGGGGGGGUAAUUAUAAC
rnacentral:rRNA from 1 species